UGGCGGACGGGUGAGUAACGCGUGGGUAACCUGCCUCAUACAGGGGGAUAACGGUUAGAAAUGACUGCUAAUACCGCAUAAGCGCACAGUACCGCAUGGUACAGUGUGAAAAACUCCGGUGGUAUGAGAUGGACCCGCGUCUGAUUAGCUAGUUGGUGGGGUAACGGCCCACCAAGGCGACGAUCAGUAGCCGACCUGAGAGGGUGACCGGCCACAUUGGGACUGAGACACGGCCCAA
rnacentral:rRNA from 1 species